rnacentral:rRNA from 1 species
CCUACGGGAGGCUGCAGUGGGGAAUAUUGGACAAUGGGCGAAAGCCUGAUCCAGCCAUGCCGCGUGUGUGAAGAAGGCCUUCGGGUUGUAAAGCACUUUCAGUGGGGAAGAAAGCCUUGGGGCUAAUACCCUCGAGGAAGGACAUUACCCACAGAAGAAGCACCGGCUAACUCCGUGCCAGCAGCCGCGGUAAUACGGAGGGUGCGAGCGUUAAUCGGAAUUACUGGGCGUAAAGCGCGCGUAGGCGGUCUGAUAAGCCGGUUGUGAAAGCCCCGGGCUCAACCUGGGAACGGCAUCCGGAACUGUCAGGCUAGAGUGCAGGAGAGGAAGGUAGAAUUCCCGGUGUAGCGGUGAAAUGCGUAGAGAUCGGGAGGAAUACCAGUGGCGAAGGCGGCCUUCUGGACUGACACUGACGCUGAGGUGCGAAAGCGUGGGUAGCAAACAGGAUUAGAUACCCGAGUAGUC